rnacentral:rRNA from 1 species
GGCGAACGCUGGCGGCGUGCUUAACACAUGCAAGUCGAACGGUAAGGCCCUUCGGGGUACACGAGUGGCGAACGGGUGAGUAACACGUGGGUGAUCUGCCCUGCACUUCGGGAUAAGCCUGGGAAACUGGGUCUAAUACCGGAUAGGACCACUGCCUGCAUGGGUGGUGGUGGAAAGCUUUUGCGGUGUGGGAUGGGCCCGCGGCCUAUCAGCUUGUUGGUGGGGUGAUGGCCUACCAAGGCGACGACGGGUAGCCGGCCUGAGAGGGUGACCGGCCACACUGGGACUGAGAUGCGGCCCAGACUCCUACGGGAGGCAGCAGUGGGGAAUAUUGCACAAUGGGCGCAAGCCUGAUGCAGCGACGCCGCGUGAGGGAUGACGGCCUUCGGGUUGUAAACCUCUUUCAGCACCGACGAAGCGCAAGUGACGGUAGGUGCAGAAGAAGGACCGGCCAACUACGUGCCAGCUGCCGCGGUAA